AAGCGAGCGGCCUACGAACAAGAGGAAACUCGUGGAAAUUUGGAUAUUCGACGGGAGAAAGUCGUCGUCGGCCAACUUCGAUAUCACGAUGGAAACCAGGAAAUCUUGUCCCCGGAUAUAAUUUAGCGGCUUGCCGUCUGUCCAAACAAACCGCCACCAGUCCACGAGUUUGCUCAGUGUCCACGCUGUGUAAUUCGAAAGGGAGGAAGGGAUUGUUGGAGACGUUGAAUUUUCGCAAAGGAGGCCGGCCAAGUUGUUCUCGCGGGCCGAGAUCAACGUCUUGAUACGUAAUAUCGAGGCGAGGGAGGGGGAGGCGGAUGUUGGAAAGAGGAGACCGCCGCUACCAGUGUAUUUCCUGCGCCAAAGCCUCGAAGGAGAGCCGGAAAUCAGUGAUGAGAGUGUGACUGUGAGAGAAUCAAUUCCAAUUGGUGGAGAAUUGCGAAGAAGAAAUUAUUAAGGAAAUUGUCUACUGUGCUUCUUAAUUAUAAAUUUAAUCAAAUUUGGAUACCAUCCAGAUUAUUCAUGGCGCUGUUAAGAGCGACCCCUAACAGCCGCUAACAGGCAAGGGAUGAAGAAAACUAACCGACGGAAAGUGAUUUUACCGACGCUUUUAUCUAACCAGGAUUAAACCCCAACUAUGUCUGGCUUGUCAUAAUCUCUUUCUACUUGUCCAAUUACACUAAUCUAAUUGUACCAAUGUUUCUCUCGCAUGCAUUUUGAUUUUCGAAUUGCAAUUGGCUAAAAAAAGAAAAAGUAUGCAAACAAUGGACACGCGUCCGUUAAACCAUCCCUUGGGAGAACUACUGCAAUCUGAGACGUGACCCUCUAAAACUGACAUUUCUCCAGACCACUUUAAAACAUCCAUUCCACGUUGUAUCGUAUUUUUAAGAGUUAAAAUAUUCGUGGAAUCUGUUUUUGUUAUGGGGAAUAUAUCAUGAAAAAUAUUUGGAACAUCAGAUACAUAUCUUAUCAAAGCACGUUAAUUUAUUAUAUCUCAUUUAUUAUUCAAUUUCUACUCGUAAAAUGAAAUGGUUGCAAAAAUGAUUGCACAAAUUUGAAACGAUAUUAAAAGUAUUCUAUUAUGAUAAACACAUAAAAGAAAAAUUAAUGUUUUCAGGAAAAUGAAAAAA
rnacentral:lncRNA from 1 species